CACUGUGCUGUCAUUAAAGUGAUACCAGCAGCCCUCGUGAAGACCAUAUGCUGUGUAAUGACCUGAUCCCACCCUGGCAAAGACAGAGCAACAGAAAAGAGAAAAGAGCCUGCAAGUUAAACACGUGGAGCGGAUAUACAAGAUACCGCGCUUCUCACCAUUUAAACGAAUACACUUCCGUCACAGAUCUGCGUCUGCUUUAAUCCAACAACUUGAUGUUAAUGAUGGUAAUAAAGACUGGAUUUAUCGGAUAAUUCGGAUUUACUCACCGCUGCAGCACCAUGAAGAAGGUGAACCGUGAGGGAAUCGAGAUGGAUCCACGGCC